GACGAACGCUGGCGGCGUGCUUAACACAUGCAAGUCGAACGGUGAAGCUCCAGCUUGCUGGCGUGGAUCAGUGGCGAACGGGUGAGUAACACGUGAGCAACCUGCCCCAGACUCUGGAAUAAGCGCUGGAAACGGCGUCUAAUACUGGAUACGAGAUCAAGCCGCAUGGUUAUGGUCUGGAAAGUUUUUCGGUUUGGGAGGGGCUCGCGGCCUAUCAGCUUGUUGGUGGGGUACUGGCUCACCAAGGCGACGACGGGUCGCCGGCCGGAGCGGGCGACCGGCCACACUGGGACUGAGACACGGCCCAGACUCCUACGGGGGGCAGCAGUGGGGAAUAUUGCACAAUGGGCGAAAGCCUGAUGCAGCGACGCCGCGUGAGGGAUGACGGCCUUCGGGUUGUAAACCUCUUUCAGCAGGGAAGAAGCGAAAGUGACGGUACCUGCAGAAGAAGCACCGGCUAACUACGUG
rnacentral:rRNA from 1 species